rnacentral:lncRNA from 1 species
CUGAUCUAGGCAGCGCAAGAGAAUUGCCUUUCUGCUUGAAGCUGCAGUUUCAUUUUGGAACUCAAAAAUCUCCUUCCUCAAGACCUCCUUUCAUGAACCUGUGAUUAAAGGGAAAUUUGAGCCAGAGAAAAGGAUAGUGGCACCCCAUUGAAAACUCUCAAUUUGUUUUGACCACAUGUGAACCUUACUGAUUGACC